AUUGAACGCUGGCGGAAUGCUUUACACAUGCAAGUCGAACGGCAGCACGGACUUCGGUCUGGUGGCGAGUGGCGAACGGGCGAGUAAUAUAUCGGAACGUGCCCAGUCGUGGGGGAUAACGUAGCGAAAGCUUCGCUAAUACCGCAUACGAUCUACGGAUGAAAGCGGGGGAUCGCAAGACCUCGCGCGAUUGGAGCGGCCGAUAUCAGAUUAGGUAGUUGGUGAGGUAAAGGCUCACCAAGCCGACGAUCUGUAGCUGGUCUGAGAGGACGACCAGCCACACUGGGACUGAGACACGGCCCAGACUCCUACGGGAGGCAGCAGUGGGGAAUUUUGGACAAUGGACGCAAGUCUGAUCCAGCCAUUCCGCGUGCAGGACGAAGGCCUUCGGGUUGUAAACUGCUUUUGUACAGAACGAAAAGGUCUCUAUUAAUACUAGGGGCUCAUGACGGUACUGUAAGAAUAAGCACCGGCUAACUACGUGCCAGCAGCCGCCGUAA
rnacentral:rRNA from 1 species